UACGAAGGGUGCUAGCGUUGUUCGGAAUUACUGGGCGUAAAGCGCGCGUAGGCGGCUAUACAAGUCAGGGGUGAAAGCCCACAGCUCAACUGUGGAAUUGCCUUUGAAACUGUAUAGCUAGAGUAUUGGAGGGGAGUGCGGAAUUGCUAAUGUAGAGGUGAAAUUCGUAGAUAUUAGCAGGAACACCGGUGGCGAAGGCGGCACUCUGGACAAUAACUGACGCUAAAGUGCGAAAGCGUGGGGAGCAAACAGG
rnacentral:rRNA from 1 species